rnacentral:rRNA from 1 species
AUUGAACGCUGGCGGCAGGCCUAACACAUGCAAGUCGAGCGGAUGAAGGGAGCUUGCUCCUGGAUUCAGCGGCGGACGGGUGAGUAAUGCCUAGGAAUCUGCCUGGUAGUGGGGGAUAACGUCCGGAAACGGGCGCUAAUACCGCAUACGUCCUGAGGGAGAAAGUGGGGGAUCUUCGGACCUCACGCUAUCAGAUGAGCCUAGGUCGGAUUAGCUAGUUGGUGGGGUAAAGGCCUACCAAGGCGACGAUCCGUAACUGGUCUGAGAGGAUGAUCAGUCACACUGGAACUGAGACAGGGUCAAGACUCCGAGGGGAGGCAGCAGGGGGGAAUAUUGGACAAUGGGGGAAAGCUUGACCCACCCAUGCGGCGUGUGGGAAGAAGGUCUGCGGAUUGUAAAGCAUUUUAAGUGGGGAGGAAGGGAAGUAAGUUAAUACCUUGCUGUUUGGACGUUACCAAAAGAAUAAGCACCGGCUAACUUCGUG